CCCAGUGACUGUACCCAGCCCGCAGUCCUGCAGCUGAAAGAUCGGCUUUUCCAUGCCCAAGGUUCUACCGUCUUGGGCCGACAGGCUCCUGCUUUCCCGUUUCCCCGCGUUGCUGUAGGAGCUGCUCUCCACCCAAAAGAGACAUCAUCACACAGAAUGGGAUUCCAGCCUCCUCGCCAGGUCCCAGCUCCAUCUGUGAGGCCGAGGGCCGCAGCUCAGCCGUCAGUGAUGCCUUUCCUCCCCUCCCAUCCCAUCCCUUCUGUGGGCUCGUGGACACAGUCCUCAAGUGACUACAGGGUCCCCAAACCCCAAGCAACCUUGCCUGUGCAUUUCGUCCCUGGAGUAAGGCCUGCCUCUCUGUCUCUCUCUCUCUCUGUCUAUCUCCAUCUCUCUCUGAUUAAAGGCUUUGUAUUUUUGGCAAUAUACCAAA
rnacentral:lncRNA from 1 species